UACGUAGGGUGCGAGCGUUGUCCGGAAUUAUUGGGCGUAAAGAGCUUGUAGGCGGUUUGUCGCGUCUGCUGUGAAAAUCCGGGGCUCAACCCCGGACUUGCAGUGGGUACGGGCAGACUAGAGUGUGGUAGGGGAGUCUGGAAUUCCUGGUGUAGCGGUGGAAUGCGCAGAUAUCAGGAGGAAGACCAGUGGCGAAGGCGGGUCUCUGGACAGUUCCUGACACUGAGACACGAAGGCCAGGGGAGCAAACGGG
rnacentral:rRNA from 1 species